CAAAGGAAUUGACGGGGCCCGCACAAGCGGUGGAGUAUGUGGUUUAAUUCGAUGCAACGCGAAGAACCUUACCUGGUCUUGACAUCCCGGAGACCCUUAGGAAACUAGGGGUGCUUCCAUCUGGAAGAAUCUGGAGACAGGUGCUGCAUGGCUGUCGUCAGCUCGUGUCGUGAGAUGUUGGGUUAAGUCCCGCAACGAGCGCAACCCUUGCCUUUAGUUGCCAGCAGUUCGGCUGGGCACUCUAAAGGGACUGCCGGUGUUAAACCGGAGGAAGGUGGGGAUGACGUCAAGUCCUCAUGGCCUUUAUGACCAGGGCUACACACGUACUACAAUGGCCGAUACAAAGGGCAGCGACACUGCGAGGUGAAGCCAAUCCCGUAAAAUCGGUCUCAGUCCGGAUUGGAGUCUGCAACUCGACUCCAUGAAGUUGGAAUCGCUAGUAAUCGUGGAUCAGCAUGCCACGGUGAAUACGUUCCCGGGCCUU
rnacentral:rRNA from 1 species